AGUCUUUUACAGAAUAAAGGAAAAGGAAGAACCUGGGCAGAAAUGCCAGCUUUAAUAAAAAGGAUCUGUCGGGUGUGUGACCUGCUGUCUUCUAGGCUCAGGACAAGACACCACUGGAUCCCCAGUCAGAUAGUUGGCAACCCCUGGUUUCAUGCCAUAUUCGUCUGAAGAAGAAAUACAAGUAAACAACCGAACAACUGAUGAAAAGCAUCCAGUCUUGAUUUGAAGACACAAGAAGAUGGACAAUCCAACACUUCUUUUGAUAAUUUGUUCCAACAGUUAAUUUCUGAUGGAAGAGAAUCCUCACAGCCC